GCCCAGAAGAGGAAGAAUAGAGAGCCUUAGAGUAGUGGGAAUGGGAACAUGGAUGAAAGCUUAACUUCCUUGGUUUUGACGUCUUGUACUGGAGGUGAUAAUCUAGUUUCGUGUUUCCCGACGCCUCCCAUUCCUAUUGUUCUAAAGCAAUCCUUCCUCUUCAAUUUUUGG
rnacentral:pre_miRNA from 1 species